UGGGGAAUAUUGCACAAUGGGGGGAAACCCUGAUGCAGCAACGCCGCGUGAAGGAAGAAGUAUUUCGGUAUGUAAACUUCUAUCGACAGGGAAGAAAAAUGACGGUACCUGAAUAAGAAGCCCCGGCUAAUUACGUGCCAGCAGCCGCGGUAAUACGUAAGGGGCAAGCGUUAUCCGGAUUUACUGGGUGUAAAGGGUGAGUAGGCGGUUCGGCAAGUCAUAUGUGAAAUUCUGAGGCUUAACCUCAGCGCUGCAUAAGAAACUGUCGGACUAGAGUGCAGGAGAGGCAAGCGGAAUUCCUAGUGUAGCGGUGAAAUGCGUAGAUAUUAGGAAGAACACCGGUGGCGAAGGCGGCUUGCUGGACUGUAACUGACGCUGAGUCACGAAAGCGUGGGGAGCGAGCAGGAUUAGAUACCCUGGUA
rnacentral:rRNA from 1 species